UGACGUCAAAUCAUCAUGCCCCUUAUGUCUUGGGCUUCACGCAUGCUACAAUGGCCGGUACAAAGGGCUGCGAUACCGCGAGGUGGAGCGAAUCCCAGAAAGCCGGUCUCAGUUCGGAUUGGGGUCUGCAACUCGACCCCAUGAAGUCGGAGUCGCUAGUAAUCGCAGAUCAGCAACGCUGCGGUGAAUACGUUCCCGGGCCUU
rnacentral:rRNA from 1 species